CAGAAGAGUUCAACUGACCAGCAUACAGUGAUGUGAAACCUUGGAGAAAACCAAAAGAGAUCGUUGUGACAGGGAGAACUGACCCUCUCCAAGAACAGAAGCGCUGUGUAACGACUUGUCUGACUUGCUACUGAAGAGCAGGAAGGUAAAAACAUACUGAUGGGAAGACUCUGGGGAAAAAUAUAUGAUUUCUGAUUCACUUUUUGAAGCUAACUGGCAUUACCUCAGCAAGCAGGCAAAGAAACUAGAUCUGGCAUUCUGACUUAAAAUUCUCAUGGAAGAAUGAGGAAGAAGGGAACAGUGAAAACAUGAUCCAGGGGAUGCCCACUGCACUCGGGACAGCUACUGGUUUCCAAGUACUGCUUUUCACGACGUUUCUAAAGAUCCAAAGCAGUCCCCUGGUCUGGCAUCCUUCAUUACCUAUGCUCAGCGUCCGCUGCGCACCUGCCUUCGAGCCAUCAAAGACACGCUGCAAUUCGCAUUUCCGAGUCAGCAGCCGCAAGAUCCACUUCAGCCAGAACCGAAAGUAGUUGCUGUACAGGAACCCCCAGAAGUACACCAACAUCUUCUGCGUGAAGAA